GAUGAACGCUAGCGGGAGGCUUAACACAUGCAAGUCGAGGGGUAAAUGGUAGCAAUACUAUGAGACCGGCGAACGGGUGCGUAACGCGUAUGCAACUUACCUUAUGCAGGGGGAUAGCCCGUGGAAACGCGGAUUAAUAUCCCAUAGAUCAGUAAUAUCGCAUGGUAUAACUGGUAAAACUCAGGUGGCAUAAGAUGGGCAUGCGUCUGAUUAGCUAGUUGGUAGGGUAACGGCCUACCAAGGCGACGAUCAGUAGGGGUUCUGAGAGGAUUAACCCCCACACUGGUACUGAGACACGGACCAGACUCCUACGGGAGGCAGCAGUGAGGAAUAUUGGUCAAUGGGCGCAAGCCUGAACCAGCCAUCCCGCGUGAAGGAAGAAGGCCCUACGGGUUGUAAACUUCUUUUCUGUUUGAAGAAUAAGCUUGUCGAGACAAGUGAUGCCGGUAGGACAGGAAUAAGCAUCGGCUAACUCCGUGCCAGCAGCCGCGGUAAUACGU
rnacentral:rRNA from 1 species